rnacentral:tRNA from 1 species
GGAGAGGUAGCGAAGCUGGCCGUAACGCGCCCGACUCGAAAUCGGGUUAUCGCAGAGAUGCGAUACGUGGGUUCGAAUCCCACCCUCUCCGCCA